UAUUGACCGACCUAUCUUUUAAAAAAGUUCUUGGUGCGAACAUAAUACUUUCUUAACUCUAAAUUUAUUUUAAUUUUUGUUAUUUAGUACAUACUUUCAUAAUUUCUAAUUAUUUUAGAUAAAUUUUUAUUUAAUUAAAAAAAUUAUAUUAAAGUUAAUAGCUCAGUCAACUAAUAAUAAUCAAUGAUCACAAUUGUAUUUAGUAAAAAUUAAGAAAUUAAAUUAUUAACGGAAUUACUAUUAGAUUUAGUAAAUUUCAAAAUUAUUUGAGUGAAAUAAUAUAAAUAAAAUAAUUAAAAGUUAAGUAAGUAUAAAUAAAAAAAGGUAAAUGUUUUUUUUACACUAACAAUUUAGUCAAUAUAUUUCCUAAUCAAAAUUUUAAUUAGGUAUAUUUUAUUUACUUGCUAAAAUUUAAAUUUGUAUGUAUUUUGGCUCUCCCUCAUAAUCAAGUCCUAGCUUCGUCACUGGGUCGGUCCAUAUCAGCUCAUCGUGGGCUCCAUAUUCAUUAUCUUUCUUACUAUAUUAUAUGAGCUAGCCUGGUAUACUAUCGGUAGUACGGAGGUCUCAGUGCUAUCAAGUUGUUUUCAAUGAUGUGGCUUCCAAAUUGACGAUCGGCUCCGUUAGACAUGAUUUACACCAUUAAAAGUAUUUGGAAACUAAAUUUCAUAAUUUUUCGACCUCAUUUGACUAGUGAUCAAAAAGUCUCAAAAUUGAUAAUUUUAAUGGUCAAUGUAAUGCGUUUGUGAAUUUAACGGUGUAAAUCAAUCCAAAUCUGAUAAAAUAUUUAUAGAAAAUUCUUUUUACUAUUUAGAGUAAGAUCGGUAUCUCUGAUCUUAAAUUCAAGUCCUUUAUCAUCAUUUUUUAUGAGAUUUUUAUUUUCAGCGGUUUAUUUUUAGAUUUUUCGUUUGAUAGGUAAAUGAUGUCGAAAAAUUAUGAAAUUUAAUUUUCAAAUACUUUCAAUAGUGUAAAUCAAGUCUAACGAAACCGAUCGUCGAUUUAAAAACUAUAUCAUUAAAAACAACUUGGUAGCACGGAGGUCUCCGUGCUACCGACAGUAUACUAGCCUAGCUCGCUAUAUAUUGUUCUGUAUAAAAAAUGAACUAAUUUAUAUAUAUAUAU
rnacentral:lncRNA from 1 species